AGAGAGAGACAUGCGCGCAUAUCAAUAAGCGGAGGAAAAGAAACUAACAAGGAUUCCCUUAGUAACGGCGAGUGAAGCGGGAAGAGCUCAAAUUUGAAAUCUUCAAGGUUUUACCUUGACGAAUUGUAGUUUAAAGAAGUGUUUUCUGCUGAAGUUUUGGUAAAAGUUCUUUGGAAUAGGACAUCAUAGAGGGUGAGAAUCCCGUAUUUGACCAUUAUUUUCAGCUUUGUGAUACACUUUCAAAGAGUCGGAUUGUUUGGGAAUGCAGUCCAUAAAUGGGUGGUAAAUUUCAUCUAAAGCUAAAUAUUGGCGAGAGACCGAUAGCGAACAAGUACCGUGAGGGAAAGAUGAAAAGAACUUUGAAAAGAGAGUUAAACAGUACGUGAAAUUGUCAAAAGGGAAGCGUUUGACACCAGUGUUGUUUUCUCGAAAAUCAAUUAAAAAUGGCUCGAUUUUGUAUUGCUUGAGACCUUAAAAGCUCACUGUACAUUUUUCGUGUCUUUUUUAAUGCACUUUUCGUUUAACAAGUCAACAUCAGUUUCUUUUGUUGUAAAAGGGUCAUUGGAAGGUGGCUUUCUUUUCGGGAGAAAGUGUUUAUAGCCUUUGGCCUCUGCAAUCGGAAGAGACUGAGGUCUGCAGCGUAGACUCUUCGGGGUUAGAUACAUUUGUGCUAAGUUAUAGCUUUUUAUAGACAACUUGUUGACUAUAAUUAGUCUUGUAGCUUACUCGCUUAUGCUAUUUUACCUACGCUUAGGAUGUUGAAGAUGUAGCACAUCAU
rnacentral:rRNA from 1 species